rnacentral:rRNA from 1 species
UAGCCAAAAUAAUUAGUCUUUCAAUUGAAGACCAGAACAAAAGAUUAAACAUUUUAAUUUUUAUAUUUAUUUUAAAAUUUGAAUUUUUUUUUAAAAGUAAAAAAACUUUUAUAUAUAAGAAAGACGAUAAGACCCUAUCAAACUUAACUUUUGUUUAACUGGGGCAGUUAAUUAAUUAUAAUUUUAAUUACAAUUUUUAUAAAAACAACUUAUUAUAUAAUUUAACAAGUUACUGUAGGGAUAACAGCAUAAUUAAUAUUUAUAGUUCUUAUAAAAAUAUUAGAUUAUGACCUCGAUGUUGAAUAAUAACCUAAUAUUACGAUAAUAGUUUACAAAGGUA